ACGCCGUCCCUCAGGAGUCUUCCGUGGCCACGUCCAGCUUUCUCUGAGGAAUAUAAACGUUUUUUGAGGCCGCGUGUCCACCGGCGGUUACCACGGACGCCAGCGGCGAGAGGGAGACGGGCGUGUGGAAGAAGCUGUGCUGGGGGAGUCCGUGCCCUUUGGGGGUGGCCACUAGAGGCUGCACAAGAGAAGACCACGCCUGGUCCUCUCCGAUCAGGAUCUUGGCGGCCACGUCCAGACUGACCACGCGUGGAUUUGACACCAGGAACAGCAUCACGAACUUCUGGCUCAUGACGCGCAGAGAUUUGUCUUUUCUGCUGUUUACAGAUGCUGGAAAGACACAGGAAGAGUGAGAAAUUAAAACUUUCUGGCGAUGCAGCUCCACAAAGAAGAGCUCUCUCUGUCCUUGCUCCCCGUUCUCCGCGUCGGCCGCCACCUCGUUCUCCUUCUCCUCACCGUCGAAGUCGAACUCCCGGUCCAGGAUACGCUGGCGGAUCUGCAGCAUCUGCUGGCCGUACCUGUGCUCCUCGCCCACCUGCUUCAGGAUGGCCAGCGUCUCGGCCAGCUUGGUCCGGCCGUGCCAGGCGUAGCGGUUCUUGGCCGAGCGGCUCACCAUGUGAAGGCUCUCCAGCACGUUCAUGAUGUCGUAGAUGCGCCGGCGCUCCACAUCUGUGCAGUCACCAAGAAAGAGAUGCAGAAAAGAAGAAAAAUAUAAUCUUUGAAAAUUGGAUAAAAUCAUUUUUUGGUAUAAAAUACCCAUCUUAUGAGCAUAAAAGCAUGCCAGUUUCUUUUGUUUAAAUAAAAUGAAAGAAUGUCACAACAAAG